GCUGGGAUGGCCGAGUCGUUAAGGCGAGUGAUUUGAAUUGUUAUUCUUGUGACUUUCUUAUCACUUGGUGUUUCACCGCGUAGGUUCAAAUCCUGCUCCCAGCG